rnacentral:rRNA from 1 species
UUCCGUAGGGGGAACCUGCGGAGGGAUCAUUACACAAAUAUGAAGGCGGGCUGGAAUCUCUCGGGGUUACAGCCUUGCUGAAUUAUUCACCCUUGUCUUUUGCGUACUUCUUGUUUCCUUGGUGGGUUCGCCCACCACUAGGACAAACAUAAACCUUUUGUAAUUGCAAUCAGCGUCAGUAACAAAUUAAUAAUUACAACUUUCAACAACGGAUCUCUUGGUUCUGGCAUCGAUGAAGAACGCAGCGAAAUGCGAUAAGUAGUGUGAAUUGCAGAAUUCAGUGAAUCAUCGAAUCUUUGAACGCACAUUGCGCCCUUUGGUAUUCCAAAGGGCAUGCCUGUUCGAGCGUCAUUUGUACCCUCAAGCUUUGCUUGGUGUUGGGCGUCUUGUCUCUAGCUUUGCUGGAGACUCGCCUUAAAGUAAUUGGCAGCCGGCCUACUGGUUUCGGAGCGCAGCACAAGUCGCACUCUCUAUCAGCAAAGGUCUAGCAUCCAUUAAGCCUUUUUUCAACUUUUGACCUCGGAUCAGGUAGGGAUACCCGCUGAACUUAAGCAUAUCAAUAAGCGGAGGAA